rnacentral:rRNA from 1 species
UACGUAGGGGGCAAGCGUUGUCCGGAAUCAUUGGGCGUAAAGCGCGUGUAGGCGGCCAUGUAAGUCCGUUCUGAAAGCCCGGGGCUCAACCCCGGGAGGCGGAUGGAUACUGCAUGGCUCGAGUACGGAAGAGGCGAGUGGAAUUCCCGGUGUAGCGGUGAAAUGCGCAGAUAUCGGGAGGAACACCAAUGGCGAAGGCAGCUCGCUGGGACGUUACUGACGCUGAGACGCGAAAGCGUGGGGAGCAAACAGGG